AGCUGAAGACCUGCACUCCAGCCUUUGUUCUCCCCGCCUCCCGACCCGUCUGAUUGGGCCACCGCCCAUUUCCAAACCAGCCAGCCACAGCUAUCAUUCACACCUGGAGUAUCAAUCCACAACCAAACUCUCAGUCAGGGCAGCUGGGAUUUAAUGUGACCAGUUUGUUGGAAAUUAGAGCUUCUGUUGGCAGCUACUGUUUCAGUGAGGAGUUACCGGUCUUGGUGAAGACUGUGGCUCCUGUUAGCAGCUGAAUAAUCUGGAAAAGCCUUGCCGGAGAAAGAACCAGACAUGAGUCAACUUUUCAUCUCUGUUAACCACCAACAUGCUGCAUUCAGGGACACGAGGAGUCAACCACUGUGCAGCCGCUGCAUUUCAAAUCUUUCAGUCACCAAGAAAAAGGCUACUGAGAAUCAUCUGGAGGAGGCUCAUGCCAGGUAU